GAUGAACGCUGGCGGCGUGCCUAACACAUGCAAGUCGAGCGAUUUACUUCGGUAAAGAGCGGCGGACGGGUGAGUAACGCGUGGGUAACCUGCCUCAUACACAUGGAUAACAUACCGAAAGGUAUGCUAAUACAAGAUGAUAUAAGAGAUACGCAUGGAUUUCUUAUCAAAGCUCCGGCGGUAUGAGAUGGACCCGCGUCUGAUUAGCUAGUUGGUAAGGUAACGGCUUACCAAGGCGACGAUCAGUAGCCGACCUGAGAGGGUGAUCGGCCACAUUGGAACUGAGACACGGUCCAAACUCCUACGGGAGGCAGCAGUGGGGAAUAUUGCACAAUGGGCGAAAGCCUGAUGCAGCAACGCCGCGUGAGCGAUGAAGGCCUUCGGGUCGUAAAGCUCUGUCCUCAAGGAAGAUAAUGACGGUACUUGAGGAGGAAGCCCCGGCUAACUACGUGCCAGCCGCCGCGGUAAAAC
rnacentral:rRNA from 1 species